GGCCCCGGAGUGAGCAAAGUGCAAAUUUGCGACAGCACCCUAAAAGGUGCCGGGGCUUC
rnacentral:tRNA from 1 species